rnacentral:rRNA from 1 species
AGACGACUCUCGGCAACGGAUAUCUCGGCUCUCGCAUCGAUGAAGAACGUAGCGAAAUGCGAUACUUGGUGUGAAUUGCAGAAUCCCGUGAACCAUCGAGUCUUUGAACGCAAGUUGCGCCCGAGGCCACUCGGCCGAGGGCACGCCUGCCUGGGCGUCACGCCACCCAUCGCCCCCUCCCGCGGCAUUCCCGUGCCCGGCCGGGGAGCGGAGACUGGCCGUCCGUGCCCGAGCCCUCGGCGCGCGGUCGGCAGAAAAGGAGGACGGCGUGCGGCGCGGCACGGCGCGUGGGGGUUGAGAGGCGAUUCGUCGCCGAUCGUACGUCGCGCCCGCAUCCCGCCGCGCGCAGCGUCWCCCGUGGGACCAUUGGAGUCGCCCGCAGCCGCGGGCGCUCGGACCGCGACCCCAGGUCAGGCGUGGCCACCCGCUGAAUUUAAGCAUAUCAAUAAGCGGAGGAGAAGAAACUUAC